rnacentral:rRNA from 1 species
GUAGGUGGCAAGCGUUGUCCGGAAUUAUUGGGCGUAAAGCGCGCGCAGGCGGUUCUUUAAGUCUGAUGUGAAAGCCCACGGCUCAACCGUGGAGGGUCAUUGGAAACUGGAGAACUUGAGUACAGAAGAGGAAAGCGGAAUUCCACGUGUAGCGGUGAAAUGCGUAGAGAUGUGGAGGAACACCGGUGGCGAAGGCGGCUUUCUGGUCUGUAACUGACGCUGAGGCGCGAAAGCGUGGGGAGCAAACAGGGAUUAGAUACCCUGGUAGUCCACGCCGUAAACGAUGAGUGCUAAGUGUUAGGGGGUUUCCGCCCCCUUAGUGCUGCAGCUAACGCAUUAAGCACUCCGCCUGGGGAGUACGGCCGCAAGGCUG